GCGUUCCUACCGCCGGCAUCCACGCUGAACGCACUGGGAUCUACACCAAGUGAGGCCUCCAAGACUACAAACUUCAGUGAGAUACAGCGGGGAACUUUCAGACCAUGGAGAGAAGCAAGGUGGGAAAAUUGAGACUCUCAGCGAGGUUGGGCUGCUGCAGAUUGUGGGUUCAGCACUUGGAGCCUCCCAGGAGCCUGUGUGAUUGGUUCAAGAAUGAACACGUGGCCCAAUCCUGGCUGAGGAGACAUGAGGGGACGUCUACCCAGGGACCUCGGGGAAAGAUUUCCUUCCUCCUAAGGAGACAAAGAGAGAGUUUUUCUUUUCCUCCAGGUGAUGGUAUGCCUGGAAGUGAUGUUUCAAACUGCCUUACACAGCAGUUUUUCUGAGGAUGGCAGAACCAAGAGAUGAAAAGAUCCUAGUUCCCUGCGGACAUUGUUGAGCCAUUGAUUUUGCCAUGCCUGAAACCAGCUCUACCUGUGGACAUCCUGUUAUUUGAGAUAAUAUACUUCCUAAUUGUCUAAGCCAGUUUGAUAAUGGUUUCUUUUACUUGCCACUUAAAGGAAUCCAAAUUGGAAAAGCAGAAAUAAAAUUGUCACUAUUUGCGGAUGACAUGAUACUAUACAUAGAAAAUCCUAAAGACACCACCAGAAAACCACUAGAGGUCAUCAAUGAAUUUGAUAAAGUUGCAGGAUACAAAAUUAACACACAGAAAUCUGUUGCACUUCUAUACACUAACAACAAAAGAACAGAAAGAGAAAUUAAAGAAACAAUCACAGUUACCAUUGCACCAAAAAGAAUAAAAUACUUAGGAAUAAACCUUCCUAAGGAGACAAAAGA